rnacentral:rRNA from 1 species
AUACGUAGGGUGCAAGCGUUAAUCGGAAUUACUGGGCGUAAAGCGUGCGCAGGCGGUUUUGUAAGACAGUGGUGAAAUCCCCGGGCUCAACCUGGGAACUGCCAUUGGGACUGCAAGGCUGGAGUGCGGCAGAGGGGGAUGGAAUUCCGCGUGUAGCAGUGAAAUGCGUAGAUAUGCGGAGGAACACCGAUGGCGAAGGCAAUCCCCUGGGCCUGCACUGACGCUCAUGCACGAAAGCGUGGGGAGCAAACAGGAUUAGAUACCCUGGUAGUCCACGCCCUAAACGAUGUCAACUGGUUGUUGGGGAUUUAUUUUCUCAGUAACGAAGCUAACGCGUGAAGUUGACCGCCUGGGGAGUACGGCCGCAAGGUUAAAACUCAAAUGAAUUGACGGGG